rnacentral:lncRNA from 1 species
UUGUGUGUAGGUGUGGUUAUAGGGGAAUAGCUUUUUCAUGUCAAUUUAUGUGGUGGGAAAUUUUGGAAAAAGGAUUACACAAUAACAAAAGAGUAUAUUUGUGUACCCUUCUUCACUAAAGUGCAAUGUCUAUAAUAUUCCUACUAUUCCACCACACAAUGAACUUACUUCAAUUUUAAGAAGAAAAAAAAAUUAUAUCAAUCCCUUUAAUUGGAUUUGGUUUAAUUCUUUUUUUCUUAAAACGUGGUGGGUACCCAUUUGAUUGGGAAAGGAAUUAGUUCAAUACAUAUGUAUUUAAAUUUAUUAAUAGAAGAUAAAAGAAAAGAUAAGUUUAGUAAUUAGAGUACUAUCUCCCCCACUUCAAAUAUCAAAUUUAAUACUUAGACGUAAUAUCUAUAGUUUUAAAAGUUGUAAUUCCAUCUCCAUAUAAUUAGGUUUAGCUUUUUAUUAAACUUCUUAAUCUUAUAAUUUUCAAUUUAGAAACCUGAUUAAAUCAUUCAAAAAACGAGAUUCUAAAACGAUUUAAAAUUGAAAGUAUUAGGGACUACUUUUACUACAUAUCCAAUAAUCAAUAAGGUAAUUACAACAUAAAAAAUAAAUUGCAAUGUUUAUUUUUGGUCAUACCAAAUUAAACUUAAACUUUAACCAUAUAAAUGUAAUUGAAGAUGUUUAGUUGUUACUUUGCAUAUAGUUCAAUUAACUUGAAAAUGAGAACUUCAUCCUUUAAUUUAUAAUUAAGAUAUCGGUUAUUUAAUCUUGUGCAUAAUUUAUAUAUUGAAGAAUUUUUUUUCUCAAUAUUAUGCCCUCUCACUUCAGGAAAAAAAAAGUUGAAAAAUUUUUGGAAGAGAUGAAAAGUUGCUAGAGACAAAUUAUUUGUUAAAAAAAUAUAAAAACACAUACACACUCACAGGAUUAAUUAGUAUCAAAUAAUAGUUACGUUAUUGACGUAUUUAUAUUUUAAUUAUAAAAAAAAGGAAAAAAAAGAAAAGAAAAUGGUUAAUCCUUUUUGAGUUUUGGGAGUAUUGGGUUCUUUGCAUUAUAUUUUUAUCUCAUAAUCCAUUAUUAAUUGAUUUGGACAUUAAGGACAAAAUUUAAGGUCACAAUAUAUAAAAACAACUUUUUGUAUUUGAAAAAUCAAUGUGAAGUAGAAAACUUGUUCAAAGUCAAAUUCAAAAGAAAAGGUUAUCUGAAAUUUAAGCAUGGUCUUAAAACUUUUGGUAUAAUAAUUGACAUAUAUAUCCAGCCUCCAAUAUUGCAUCAAAAACAUUAUGUCAAUACAAUUAUCAUCUAGCUAAGAUUACUUUUGCAAUAUUCAAUAAAUUAAUUAUUAAUAAAUUGUUGUUUUGUUUGAGAGAAAACCACUACAAGAAAUUGAGAAUCUCUAGAUGACUAACUCAAGCCGUUGGAAGUAGGGAAUAACUCUUGAAAACGUAUAAAGGUGUCAUGAGUUAUUUCCAAGACUUGUAAUUUGAAGGAAAAAUUGUCGACACCCUAUACGUACGCGUCAAGAGAUCAUAGAAUGAGCUCAGGAUAACCAUAUAAUUAGCCAAUCGAAAGUUAUAAAGAACUCUACACGCUUAUUAGGUAGUGUCAUGUGUUAUCUUUGAUUAUGAGUAGACUACUCCUUCCACUAUUCGUUGUUGCCUCCAAUAAUCUCCCUUUGUAUGAAAAUUCCUCCUUUGCUCUCUAGUUUGCUAAUUUUUCUACGUUUUGAAGUCUAAUUGGGAUAGAUUUUGGGGUUUAUUUCAAGUUUUGAUUGUGCUUGAAUUAGUUGUGGUUGGGAUAGAUUUUGGUUGUGAUAACUAUUGGGGUUGUGUAAUAUUAGGGUUCUUUUUUUUCUUAAUGUUAGGGAUUGGAGAGAUGAUGUUUUUUUUUUAUUAAUUCAAAAGCACAUCAUAGAGUUGUAGGCCAUUAUGUAUGUUGAUUUUAUGGAAUUAAUCUAUAUUUCAUUAAUUACUUAAUAGAGAUACAAGCCUAUAUAUAACCAUAGAGAAAUACACUUAAGGAAAUAAUAUCAAAUAAUAUCUCCAGAAUAAUAUCUCCUAAGAAUAAUAUCUCCUAAGAAUAAUAUCUCCUAAGAAUAAUCUAAUUAUAUUAAUAAUGUAAACCUUUUUUAAGUCUUCCUUGCAAAAUAUAUUCUAAUUUUGUAGGCAUCAUUUUGUGUUUCCAAUUAGUUAUAAUUUAAUAUAUAAUGUUUUGUUUGAUAAUAUUCUAUUGAAUUUUAGAUCACAAAACUUAAAAAAAAGAUCAAACGAUUCACAUGACAACUAACAAAAUGAGAACCAAAAUAAUAAUAGCAAAAAAAGAAAAAAAAAAUAGAAGAACUCACAACAACAUGGUUGGGAGUUUAGACUCUCCUGAUGGGCUCUGUGAUAGACCACAACUUUUGACAGUGUAGAUAAAGCCUUUCAGAAGUUAGAAUCAACUCCCGACGAGCUGUGUACGCCAUCAAGAGUUUGAGGAAUUCCCAACAUUAUUGCAUCGGGAAUGCCUCUCCUGACGUGGUUUUUUUGACCACGUUCCUGAUGUUUUUUGUACAUUUUUAGUGACUUUAGCAGUUAGAAGAGGAUUUUUUAUUUUUUUUAGUAGUUAACUUAUAGGUUUGUUGGUCAAAUGAUUAAACAAUUUUAGAAGGAAACACAAUACUAUAUACCAGUGGCGGAUCUAGAAAUUUUAUAUAGGAGGCAUCAGACACUAUAUAAUAAACACACUAGAAAUGUUAAAAAAAAUAUCCAGACGUUUCACUGAUGUUCAAAUAACAUUCACUACAUUUGUAGUAAUAAAGAAAGACAAUUGUCAUAUGCGUUUUUGUAAGGUAAAUGUAUUAAUUUAAAAUUUGCAUUAAAAAAAAAGAAAAAAAAAAAGAAAAUUUCAUGGAAUAUUGUUGAGAGAGUGAAAGAUGGAUCACGGAUUUUGUUGCAUUUUUUUUCUAAAUAUUUGUUACAUAAGAAAUGAUGCUAGAAAAUUAUCUUUCUUUUAGGAAAUCUCAUUGAAAUUUAGAAAGAAAACACAAAUUAUUGAUGUUUGGAAUAAAAAUUAUUUCGUAACUCUUAACCCGGUGGUUUUGCAACGAAGGCACAGCCACUACACCAAAACGAGAAUUCAGUUAAAUUAACGCAUUAUUUAAUAUAUAUAUUGUAAUUUAACACUUCAAAAUUAAUAUUAAAAUACUAAACUCGACCAUGUGAGAGGGGCGUGUCCCUGACUUCUUAAUAAAUUCACCCUGCUAUAUACAUAUGUCGUUAAAAAAUGAAUUGUUUGAAAAUCGUUCACUAGUGUGAAUUUUAUACGUUGAUUCAAAUUCAAUCUUGUGUCCGAUUUCAUUUGUGUUAAAAACAGUAAAUUUAGAAAGAUCUUUUAAUUGAUGGAUCGUUUUUAAAAAUUGUAAAUAAAUACACAGGUAAAUAUUAGAUUAAAGCACUAAUUUGGGUCAUUUACAUUUAAAAAAUUUGUUGAAUCGUAGUAAUUGUACUUUCAAUAAAUUUAAAAUUUAAAAAUAAUUUAAUAAAUAUUUUUUCGAGAAAAAAAAAUUGUAUAAAGUAAAAGCUUUCAAAUAUUUAGGUGAGAUGCAAAAAACAAAUAAAUGCAAUACAAGGACUCAUGACCAAAUUUAGAAAUUAAACGUAGAUUUCUGCCCCUUUUAUUUGCUAUUUUUUCUUUAUUGACGUUUCUAGCUUCCAAACAUAUAUAAACUCUGCUUCAAAUGUCAAAAUGGCAUAAAAAAAAGAAAGCAUUAAUAAUGUAUCUAGAUGAUUCAUCAAAGAAAAAUAAAAGUUUGAGCAUUAUUGAUAGAGUAAAUGUACCAUUAGGCAAUAAGUUGAUUGAAUAUUUUGGAAUAAUAAUCUUAUAUUGGAGCAUUUAGAUUUGGCCUAGAGAAAAGCAAACAUAUCCCUAGUUAUCAAACUUAGCUUAAAAUAUUUUAAAAUUAAACAUGAUUGAUCAUCCCAUUUUUGCCACUCAACAAUAUAUUUAAUUAAUUAAGAGCUGUCCCCCAUGUAAUUGACCAACUAAACCCAACUUUUGACCCUUAAUUUCCCACUAAUCAUUCAUUCGUUUAAUAACUCUUUCCAUCACAUUUUUAAGCAAAUUAUCAAUUAAUUCUAUUAGUCUUCCAUGACCAAUUUUUUAUUCGCAAAAUCUCAUCACACCAACACCAUCAUUUCUUUCUUUUUCUUCUUUUUUCUUCUUUUUAAUAUACAUAUAUAAAUUACUUCUUUUAUGGAGAUGGAACCUUCCACCGAUAAAUUCACUUUCACAAAAUAUUUGGAAAUAUAAAUUUUUGAAGGAGUAAAGGAUAAUGAUGGAUAGUACAUUUGUUGAUUAAAUAAUUAAGAAACUUGAGGAUUUGAUUUUAAUUAAUUGUUUUCCUCUAACAAUAUGAUGGAUGAUGCAAGUAUCCAGUACCACCUCUAAUGAUGGUUCAAACUUUUGGAGAAAAAGUAAGUUGUUCAAAACCAUUUGAUGAACGACUCCUACCCUCAUAUGUAUGGUUGGAUUAUUUGAUACUCAUUUUAGCAACUUAAUAGAUAGGUUUUAUUAUGAAGACCCUUUAAAAUCUUAACCAUCAAAAUGUGGAAGUUUUAUUACUCAAAUGUUGAUAUCAAUAAAUAUUUCAAAUGAAUGGAAAGAGAAGUAAAAAUAUAUUUAAGAUUUUGUUAGGAUAAAACUUUAAAAAAAUUCUUAUUUAUAUUAGUGACAUUUUGUUGCUUAUUUUUUUAUGCAUCAUAGAUAAUUUUCAUGAUAUAAUGAAAUUGUUGAUCCAUCACUUGAGUUGAUAUACACACAAAAACACAUAAUUAAUUUGAUGAUUUAAAUAAUGUUUUAUGCUAUCAGAUUCAAUGACUUCAGCAAAUACCAAUUACAUAAACAAUUGGAAUCAUAUUUGUAAAAAAUAUUUUUGGAUUUUGUGAUCAAUAAUUUAAAUUAGAAAAAUAAAAGCAUAUCCAUAAAUGAGUCGAGAAAUAUGGUUAAUCUAAUAUUUAGAGUGUAACUACUACCACUAGUUUUGCUUGUUUUUAAAAUUAGAUACCAAACAUAUCGUAGGGACUAUUUAUCUUUAAAAUAUUAUAAGCGAGAUGAGUUUAGCCAAAUCUCUACACAUAUACCUCUUUUAAUUUUAUAUUACAUUUUACUUCCUUAACUUCAUACUUCAAAUUUUUUAUUGUUAUGGAUUCAAUCACUAACUAGUAUUGUUUUAUAUACGUGAUGGUCGUUGUGAUGAGUGAGAGUAUUAGUAUAAUUAUACUCACACAUCUUUAAAAUGUGACAACCACUAACUAGUAUACUUUUUCUUCAAUUUCAAAAACUAAUUCAAAAAGGUCUUUGAAUCUUUAGCAUGUAUGAUUUAAUUAUUAAUAUUUUCUUUAGUUCAUAAUGAUCCUUUAAUCACAUCUUCGUCAACAGCACCUUUGCUAGAGCUAGUUUUAGCAUUGUAUAGUAUAUAAUAGAGUUAAAACAUGAUGAUCUUCUGGAACUGAUAUAAUGAGUCUUGCAACAUGAUCACAGCAGAGAGUGAUCGAUGUCUUCAUUUAUUUAAUUUUAAUAAAUAAAUAGGUUUGAAGUUGUCACCAACCAUAUUAAGAUAUGAUUGGUCACACGAAAAAAAAAAAGAUUGUCUACAUAAAUUCAUGAGAUUUAAGUUCGGGAGUAGAUUGUAUGUAGAGAAGGUGUUAGCACCUUACGACAGCCAUAAAAUGGUUACCCAAUUUUAUCUCUUAAACUAAAUCAAAGAGGUUCAUAAAAUAAAGUUUUUUAUUUAGGUUUUUUUAAAAAUGUCCUAUGAUUAUCGAUUCAUAUCGAAAAAAAUAAAACUUAAGCAUAAAUUCAUAAUUAUGGGUGACAUAAAAAUCAUUAGAAAAAUAAAGUUUAUUUUUUUGUUUCAAAAGAUAUUUUUUUUAUUUAUUCAUAUCAAGAAUAUUAAAAUACCAAAUAUUGAUAUUCUAGUCUUCGUCAUAUGUGUUUAAUGAGAAAUUUCAUGUAUCUAAAAAUUAAUAAAUUCAUAGAAAAUACUAUUAGGUCCCGUUUAAAAAUAUGAAAUUGUUUAUAAUUUUAAAGACAAUUUAGUAAUUAAAUUUCAAAUGAAGAAAUUUGAUGUAUUUAUAGAAUUUAAAUUAUAAAAUUCAUAAAAAAUAACAUUUUCUUCUAUUUAAAUUGAAAAAUAAAUAAUAAUAAUAACACAAUAAGGUGAAAUUUGAGAAAUAUAUGUUGUGAAAUAGUUAUAUAGGUUGUGCAAGAAAAUGUUACAGGCGGGCCACGAAAUAAGUAAAGUAAUAUGGUGAGAUAAAAUAAUAAAAAUUAUAGAGAUAAAUAACGUAAACAAUCAAAUAAAUAAAAUAUGAUGCAAAAUAAAACACAAUGCACAAUAGGGAGGAUGCCAAAUAAAUAAAAGCACAUGAUGCAAAAAAAUUAAUUAAGAUAAUUAAGGCGGGAUGUCAAUAUGUCAAAUAAUUAAUUAACACAACAGUUGUUGCCAAAUAAUUAAUGCAGUCAUGAUGCUAAUUAAUUAAUGUAGAAUGCCUCAAAUGAAUAAGUAACAUAAGAUGUUAAAUGAGUGCCAAAUAAUUAUCGGAUGGGUGCUUGAUGUCAAAAAAUUAACAGUGAUGCCAAAUAAUUAAUAUAGGAUCAUGCAAAUAAUUCAAAUGAAUAAUAAACACAAGAGGCCAAAUGAGUAAUUAACACAAAUACCAAAUGAGUUCAAAUAAUUAAAGCAGAAUGUCAAACAAUUAAAGCAACAUGCUAAUGAGUACCAAAUAAUUCCGUAAAUGAUGAAGAAUGGAUUUUAAAAGAAAACACACACAAUAGAAUUUCAAAGAAAACACACACAAUAGAAUUUUCAAACAGUAGUAAUUAAAUUGACCUAAAUAUAAAAAGAAAAAAAUUCACAUAGCAAAUUGGCUUAAAUCUAAUAAAAACCUUUAAUCGAAUUUCGAGAUAUUAUUAUUAUUAUUAUUGCAACUACAGUAAAAAAACCUUUAAUCGAAUUUCGAGUUACAUCCGAAAAAAUCAAUUUAUUGAGAAUAUUAAAUGAAAAUUAUUUUAAACGAAAAAAUUUCAAAAAAUAUUUACAAAUAUAAUAAAACAUUACAACUUAGGUGUGAUAGACUAUAAUAAACUAUUAUAUAUAUCUAGUCUUACAUAAUUUAUCGUAAAUUGAUUGUAAUAUUUUGUUAUAUCUUAUAAAUACGUGGAUUGAUUUUAUUAUAUUUGAAAAUAAGUAGUAUGAAAAGUUAUGAUAAUGGUUAAAAAUGGUCUCAUAAAUUUGGAAUUAAUAGUUGAGAAAGCAAUUAUAAGAGUAUUGUUAGAAUAGAGCAUGAAAGAAAUUUUCAAACUAAAGAUAAAUUAGUGAGCACACAUUUUCUAAAACGCAAGACCGCCCACACAUUUUUUUCUUUACUUUAUUAAUUAGUAUUUUAUUUAAAAAAGAUAGCAAUUUAUUGGAGGAAAGGCAAAGUAUAUAUAUAUGAUGUUUUUCUUUUCUUAUUGUUUUUUGAGUACUUGAGUAAACUAUUAUAUACUUUAUACACUAUAUCAAUACAUCACAUGGAACAUAGUUCUUGACCCAUUGAUUAUUUUAUUUUAAACACCUCAAGUCACACAACUCAUUUUUUAUGAAUUAAAAUGGUCUUUCAAAACUCUUUUUUUUCUAAAAUAGAAAGGUAAGGUAUAUAUAUGAUUGCAUUUGUUUAUGAAUAUUUAAUUGUAUUUGGACUGAGAUUUGAAAUAUAAAUGUUGAUAAAAAUAUAGAGGUCUAAUUUUAUAUUAAUAUAGAUGAAAAUUUGAUAGAAUUUGAUGAAAAUUGAUUGAAAGUGUUAUAAUUAAAAUAAUAAAAAUUUGAUAUUAUGGUUUUAAUUAAACACUGCAAUAGACCAUUUUUAAACAAUAAUUUUUAUUAAGUAAAACAAGGUUGUACACAUUUGUGUAAAUGUUGAUGCAAGAGUAAAAAAUUUAGAAAAGAAAUAGAAAAAUAAUUACACAGUAUACAAAAGUGUGAGAAUACUUAGAGGUGACAUAAUGGGAAAUUAAACUCAUUGGAUGGUAAAAAAUUUCACAUCAAUUAGUUUGGAAGUGAAAUUAUGAGAAAAUCUAAUGGUAAAAAUUUGAGUAAGAGUAAAAUUUAAUAUAGGUUUUUUUUGUAUUUUUUUCUUUCAAUUUCAUCUACUUUAUCGAUGGAAGUUUUGAGUCGAACAAUUGAAAUUAAACAAAAAAUGAUGUUGUUGAAAAUGAUAAUUACACUCGUUAUUAAACAACAAAUUAAAAUUAAACAACAAAUUCCAUUCUUCAUUGAAAAUGAUGUUGACAUGUCAAACUAUAUAAUUACACUCGUUAUUAAGGGAAUAAAACUCAAAACUUAUGAACUUAGCUAAUGAUUAAUAAAAAAAAUCUUAACAAUUUUGAGGGCUACAUUUCAAUAGAAAUUCCCCACCAAGGUUAGGAGGCCUUCUUCCCUUAUUUUUAACUUUGCCUUUUCAAUUAAUUGUAUAUAAAUAUUUAAUUGUUUUUUUACUUUAAAUAUAAAUUCUUUUACUACCCAACUUUCAAAUUGUUAAAAGAAAUUAUCGUCAACUUUAAAGUUAUUAAAAAAAGUAGUGUGAUAGGUGAUGCGUAAAAAUUAAAAAGCGUACUUAUUAUGUACAAGUAUAGAGAAAAUUAAAACAAUCAUGUUCAUUCCGUCAUUUCAAAAGAUAUGGUUAAAACUAAAUAUAUAAUCAACUUUUUAUACAUCUUAAUUACUAUGUUAAUUUUUGUUGAUACCAAAAUUUGAAUAUGGAAAUACGUCCACUUUUAUGUAACAACAACAAUAGAUUUGUAAUUUGAUCAAGGAUGUGACCUCACCUUGGCCAAGAUCGAACAUGAUGACUUUUGAGCCAAGGCCCAAACUAUGCUUUCUUCUCUAGGCUUAUUUUGGUUCUAUGAUUUUACUUUUUACUCGAAAUCUUGUUGUCUUUUUAGCUUUGUCAUUCUUACUUAAUAUUGAUUAAUUAUAUGUUUUUUGAUCCAAAAUCACCCGGAACACAUGUAAAUGAUGUCACAUAUGUCCUUAAUUCUAGUUUUACAUAAUAGAUAUUGGGUUUAUUUCAAUAUUUAGUUUAGGAAAAAAAUUACCCGUUUAACCAUUUUUCUUUUUGUUGAAAAUUUUCAAAAUUAUAAUAUCAAAAUAAAUAUUUUUAAAGUGUUAGAAUAUAAUUGAAACCAUUCUAAUAAAUUUAAAAAUAUAUAUAUACUACACAUGUUGAUUAUAGCAUAAUAAAUAUGUUAUUUCUAUAAAAUGGCGAUUAAAAAGAAACAAUUUCAUAUUUUGGGUUGGUUAUUUAAGUGGGUAAAGGUUGAGAACAUUAGGUGGAUAAUACUUUACAUUGUGGUCACACCACUUCCAAAGUCAUAUCAAAAUGCCAAUUAAACUACUUUAAUUUAGUCAACAAUUUCUUUAAAAGAUUGUAAGUUUAUUUUUUCUUUUUUUGAAAGAAAAAAUCCACUCUCACCAACGAAUGGUUUAGUCAUAUAUAUGAUCAAAUUCAUUAGUGUGUGUAAGAGCUUCUAUUGCAACAUUUAGUGGGGCAUUACAUGUUGACUUUCAUUAUUCUAUUGAAAGAGAGUAAUAAUUAUAUAUCAAAUAUAUAUUGGAGAGAGCUUACCUAUAUGAUUUAUUAAUUAAUUAAUAUAAUGUUAGACUUUGUUUUCCCCCAAAAAAAAAAAAUUAAGUAGAAAGAAAUUGGGUAAGCAUCAACUUCUAAUAGUAGGUCAUCCAUAUUUUGGUAAUUGCAUGCUCUAAUCACGAUAGAUUAAUAUCUUUCUUAUCAUUUUAGUCAUGACUUCUGACAACCAUAUUUGAUAAACGGUUGUGGUUUCUAACUCUACAAUUGUCACCCGCUCUAAUGAUUACCUUCACUAACUUUGAAGACCAUUAUUUGAUUAACUUUAAAGACCAUUAUUUUAUAUGGUUAGUUUAUAGUAAUUUUAUACUAAUAUAUUAUUAAUAAAAAAAACACUUUCAAAUUUGAAUAUAAAAAUACUUUUGAAAAAGAGUUGUCAAACACAUAGCAAUUUUUAUUUUUAAAUAAAUUUUUAAUCAAAGUGUUUAUAUAAAAAUUACGACUAAAGAAAAAAAAGGUAAGAAAGUGAAUUGUGGUUAGUGAAAGAAAGUUGUCGAACAUAUUUAUCAAAUAGAGGAUUUGGAUGGAUGGACGUUUAUUUUUAUUUAUUUGUUUGCAUAAAUUGGAUUUUUGGUCAUUUGUUGGUCCUCUCAUAUAUAAAUUAUUUUGGACCAUAUAAGGUAGGGUGAAGAAUGUGACAUUCGUUGCAUACAUGACCAUUGAUAAGGAAUUAAAUUUUGAGAUAUUCCAUUUACAAUAAUAAUAUAAAUCAAUUUCCUCAAAUACAAAAGUAAAUAAGUAAUAUAUAUCUAAUAUAAUUAUGUUUCUUCAGUGAAUCCAAUUAUAUAAUUUUGUCCACAUGAACUAGAAACGUUACAUGUUGUGAAAUGAUUAAUUAAAUCAUUAUUAUUUUUAAUUGCUUGAUAUAAAAGUAAACCCUAAACUUCAUUUCCCAAACUCAGAACAAAUGCAAAGAUGUAGCAUCAUGAAUAGAAGAUUUUCAAACAAAAAAAAAUCAUAUAAACUCCAUACAUCAUAUUUCAACUCAACCUCCUAAACAAGUUCGAUAACAAGAAAUAGAAAAAUCUUUAAUUAAAUUGAGGACUCUAUCCAAAUUGUCUAAAAGAAGAUAGUGUAUAAAUUAUUAAUAAAUUGUUAUAUUUGCUAUUCUUUAUUCUAAAAAAAAAAAAGGUUGUAUUUUGAUAAAAACCAGGAAUAUGAAUGGAAUUCAAUACCCAAGAGAGUUUGAUAACAAGAACCAUUUAAAAAGAAAAUCUCCAGACUGCAUUGUGGUUCACUGUAUUGCAAAUGUAGAAUGAAGUGAUGGAUUUUUGCAAAAUAUUAAAAGAAAAAUUGAAUGUCCUACAUAAAAAAUUCAUGAGAUUGAUGAACUUCAAGUAAGGUGGAAACUAAGAACAAGUAGCUUAUAGCUUUGGUUUGAUAUGGUUUCAUUUAGAAACAGAGUAUGAUAACUCUAAUUAAUUUUCUUUCAAGUAUUCGAAAAAAAGAUGUGAAUAACACAAAAUGAAAAUGAAAUAUUUUAUAUUUUUACGUGUGGUAUUUUCUCAGUCUGGGAAUCAUUGGUAGAACAUUAAAAUGAAACAGAAACUUUUAAUUAAGAACUAUGUUAUUACUUAUCUGUCUCAAAAAAUGAGAUUAAAAGAGAAUAAAGAAAAAGAUGAAGAAGACCCAAAAAAGACAAGAAAACCAAUGAGUUAAAAGCUCUAAAUAUGUUUGACAGAUAAAGCCAAAUACAUAUAAGUAAAAAGAAACACAAAAGUAAUGAUUGAAACAAAGAGCAUUGCUAUAUCAAAGUAAAAAUGGUUAAGGUUUAUAUGUCUUUUUGUUGGAAAAAGGAACAAUCAAAUUGCUCUGAAAGGUAAAAAAAAAGAAACAGACAGAAGAAAACAAAAGAAAAGAGUCAAAAGGCAUGAAAGCAUAGCAAAGAAUAGCUUUGGUUUUGGCAAUGCGUGUGAGAUUCAUGGAGGUCAAAUCCAUCAUUCUCAACUUAGAUUCUCUCUAACACAUCGAUUUUUCAUUUUCAAUCUAUUCUCUCACUAUAAUUGGAUUUGAAUCACAUACCUGAUCUUACAUUUUAUUAAUAAAUUAAACCCUCUUUCUCUCUCUCUCUCUCCUUUUCAUCAGGAAUAUAUUCCAAAGUCUCUUAAGACAAAGAGAGUAGGAGGGAAUGUUAUCUCCAACCCAUGUGCCUAUGUGAUAUACCCUAAACCCCUACCCUACUUCUAACCUCAAAAUCAAUCGGAUUCUCACUUUCUUUCUCUUAGUUUGUUUGGUUGUUACGGUCCAAGUGCAAAUAAUUGUCAGAAAAAGAUACAGUCAGGUUCUUGUAAGAUAUUUCAAUCUAGUUGAUUACCCUAAAUAUAACUAUAUUGUAACACCAUACAAUUUCAUGGUUAUCUUAUAUGGUAUCAAACCCUUACCAUAAGUCCUAGAAAAGGAAUUCAACCCAAGAGUGGUAAACUAGAAAAAAAGACUCUUGAUUCUUUUAGAGGGAUGUAUUCAAACGUCCAUGUUAGAAAGAUGAAGUCUAAUCUAAGAGUAAAAUUAGUUUUUUUUUUCUUAUGAUGAAUUAGUUUUGAUUGUAUCAUCUAAUAGCUAGACUCAACAUUAAUCGAAAAAACAUCAUGUUUUUUUGUUAUCAUUACUAAUAAAUCAAGAUUAAACUAAGGAGAGAAAAAUGGAAUAUUUUGUUUCAGAGUAGAAUAAUUAAGAUAAAGAACUUGGUUUGGGGAUGAGGAUUAAUCCAAAGAUAUUUAUGGGUGUUUUUUUUACUACUAAAAGUGGGCAUCUUUAGCUUUGUGUGGUAUGUAGUAAGAGGAAGAGUGAGUGUGUGUUCAAUAAUCAAAUUGGUAUGUAUUUUUUCACUCUAAAAGUCUUUUCAUUUUCACACUCUCUUUACUUUUGAAAAUGUUCUUUCAUAUGCCAUUCCUAUCAAUACAACAUUUUUGUAAUUAUCUUCUUUCCGAAGAUACACCAUUCUUUUAUAACAUACAAAAACUAAAUAAUAAUAAUAAUAAAAGGAAGUCUAAAAUUAAAUUACUUUCUAAACCAAUUUCAUACUUAUCUCUUGAAAAUUCAAAUGGUUUUCAUACAACUCUUUUUUCCUUUUUUUUUCCUCUUUUUCUGUUGAUAUUUUUCCACGUGGUAAAAUAUACCAAAUUUUUACUUUUUAUCAUCAAUUCGUUUCACUUUCAAUAAGGAUCUUAAAUAUAAUCCAACUAAUUUAUUCUUCAUUGUUGUCUUUUUAGAAAAGGACUAAAAUGAAAUAAAACUCCAAAAUACAAAACCAAAAUAAUAUUAUAGCCAUUCAGAUUUUUCCUUACUCAUCAUAUACCAUUACUAUUCAGUGUCAAAACUAAUUUGAGAAUUUGAUGGACAAAGAAGUAAACAUUUCCAUCAUGGUACUGCAUUUUCAAUUUUUUUUUCUUUUUUUUUUUUUUGUUAAUUUUUGAAUUUGACAAGAACAAUUUUCAAGCUCUCCUAACUCAAAGUCAUUACACCUAUCAUUCCCAAAAAUCUCUAGCCAAUCUUGCAAAAGCAUAGAGUUGAUUUACAAAAUACAACAAAUUUGUUUCCUUUUUCAUCUCUUCCUUUCUUUCUUAAAAUCUCAAUUGUUUCUUUAUUUUUCAAAUCUCAACCUGCCAUUUUCUUAAAAGAAAAUUUCAUACUUCUAGCCGCUUACUUCUUUCUCCAUCAAGUUCUGCAUAAUCCCUCCAUCUUCUCCGUCCAAAUUCAAGAUUUUUCUUUUCGUUCUAUGUGUUUCAAAAUCCUAACAAGUUUUAUAGAAGAAAACCUAACUGGCUCAAUCAAAUAUUUCAAUUUGUAGUGCAGAGUAAUAUUUCUUUUCAAUAUGUAAAUUUACUGCAAGAAAAAAAUGAAAGUCAUGGUUAGUGGAGCUUGAGAUAGGAUGAAAGAAAAAUGAAAAUACCAUGGUAAAAUAGAAGAUCGACAGCUAUGGAAGUUGGGAUUGAUUUGGGUGCAAAGGAAGAAAAUUAGACCAAAAACGAAUACUAAAGGUUUGAAGAUUGACAUUCUGGAUAAAAAGAGAGGAGGGGGAGAGACGGAAAGAUGGAAGGGGUGCCACGUUAUAAGUAAAUAAUAUUCUAAUAUAUUUUUAUUUUUUCGUUAGGCAACUAACAAUCUAAUGAACUUUUAAGGACCAUUUAGAACUAUUUCUCAAAUUUUGAGGACUAAAGUGUUUAUUAUAAAACUUCGAAGACCAAAUAGAUAUUAACCUAAAAUUUCAUAGACAGUGCAUUGUCCUACAAAAAGAAGCAACAGUUACACACAAUCCAUUUUUCUUCCUUUAAAAACAGGAAUGAGAGAACAGAAUAACAAAUAAAGCUAUCAAACAAGAUAGAAAUCAUAUUAAGUUUUUAAUAAAAUUAAAUCAUAAACAAAUUGCAAAAAUUUGAAAUGGCCUAUUCACCGAACAUCAGUACUCAUUCGAUACCACGAGGUCCAUUACUUCAAACCUUCCAUUCAUUCAACUAUACUCAAAUUGACGUAUAAAUGAAUUGCUAUAAUCAGUACAGACCAAAUCUAACAAGAUAAAAAGAAACCAAAAAAACCAUAAUGGUGAGACAUGCCAAAGGAAAAAGAAAAUCCCUUUUAGCUCCACCUGGUAUGAUUGAAACUGCAGAUUCGGUUCCAUUCUGUACACCUACUAAAUUGGUAUUCCUUAUCCAUAAAAAAAAAUCUAUAUAUAUUAAACCAAAAACAAACAACCACUACAACAAAAUAACAUCAACGUAUGGCCAGUAGUUAUCACCCAAAAAGUGCAUUGUUUGGAUUAACACCACAAGAGACCGACAAUGUUAUUGUAUUUGUAUUGGUAGCUGACUCAGAAUCAUCUCUCAAGAGAUAAAGAACGUGAGAUGUUGUUCAUAUUUCGGCCAUAUCAUAUCAUCUAAUACAAGGUGGCGUGUGCCUGUGCUGUCCCCUCACUUAUCACUAACAUUUGCAAUUCUUCACCUCAAAGUGGAGGAGACAAAUCCUAUCCUAAGCACAUCCAAAAUUAACCCUUUGGUCUUUAUACUUCCAAAUAUGUUAAGUUUGGACAGUUACGUAUUAAAGUUCAAAUACUAAUCCACCUCCGUGCUCUUCUUCUGCAUUCCAAACUUCAAAUAACAAAUUUGCCCCAACCAUCUUCUGCAUUCCAAACUUCAAAUAACAAAUUUGCCCCAACCACAUGAUUGAAGAGAACGAUAAGAUAUUUACUAUGUGUUAAUUAAUAUUUAAUGAUGGUUACAAAUAUAACAAUCAUAUUUAAAAUUUAAAGUACUUACAAAAUAGCAAAUUUAGAUUCUACCUUCAAAGUUUAUCAAUGAUAGAGAUAUCGCUAGUAUGGUCAAUAAGCCAAAUUGUCGAUUGAAAUUUAUCAACGAUAGAGUCUAUUAUCAAUAAAUUUUAAUAUAUUUGCAAUUCUUUAAAAGUGUUUUUAUGCAUUUAUUACCUUAAUAUUUAGUUUAGUUUUUAGAUUAGUUAGUGUUUAAUUAGAACUAUAGAAUGAAUUGGUUGGUUGUGUUAUUUAUUGUAAGGCUAUAAACAACCAAUUUAGGGAAAACUUUGAAUAUCCAUCUGAAUUAGAACUGGUGUUCCUGGAGAAUGCUCUCUUAAUUUAAAGGAUGAAUUUCUCUUAUUUGACCAAAGGAUCUAAUCUAAUACCUAGACACGAAGCAUCACCGCAAAGAGAAUAAAACUUGAAUCCAAAUCAGUCUAAGAGUUGAAGAUGAAUCUUCAAAAUAAAAGGUUCAAAACUAACAUAAUUUACCGUAGCUAAACAAGAGCAAGAGAUGGAGAUCCCAAUUCCAAGUAAUUGAUAGAAGAUUGGUCAGUACAAGCCAAAACAAUGACUUAAUUUGAUUGGGGUCUCUGUUGAAUGUGGAUUGGUCUUUAGUGCUGGCGCUUUAAAAAUGAAUGAAAGGUAAAGUAUCUCUAUUUUGUUGGUUCUCAAUCUUCUAGAGGCUGAUGCUGUAAAGAAACAGAGUAAUCCAUAAUAGAUAGAGGUGAUUAAAAUGGUAGCUGGACAAUCUAUCUUUGUCAAUUAAAAGAGAGUUUACUGCUUUACGUCUUUUCAAAUUAUCUUUAAACCAAUAAAAGAUAAGCAGAUUUCCACUAUAUCAUUAAAUAGAUCAUGAUAGAUCCUAACCAAUUGAGAGGAGGUUUAACAUGACUUUUGAAAUAGGGAAUUGCCCUGGGCAACUUGAAGCACCUCUCAAAAUCCUUGAAGAUUUAUUAGAUAAUUUGUUGGGUACUUGAGCACUCUAAAGAACUAUCUCCCAAAAGCCAACUAUAGAGGUGAGAGAGUCAAGCCACAUAAGUAGCACAUUGACCAUCCCAUUCUAACUAAUGAGGGACAAAGUUAGAUCAGAGUACCUUGGUUCCUAAUAAUGAGGUUUCUUACAAUACCUUGGUUCCUAACAAUGGUUCCUAAUUAAUGUGGGAGGAAAAUGAUGGUAAAUUAUGGGCCAUUGGAACUAAAAAUGGCAGUAUUGUACUGCUAGUCUUAUGCACUACUAUUGGUAACUUACACAAACAGAGCUAUCUGAGACACAGUCACUAGUUAAGAAAAAAUGAAGGACUUGAUUACUAAUGACAAAAACAGAGAAAUUUGGCCUAACAUUACGCAAAUAUCUGUAUAACCAACUCAAACUCCACAAAUUCAUCUCACUUAUUCUACAUAUUUAGCAUGAAAAUUCCUUAUAACUUAUUUCGACUUCUACAAACAAACCUGUCAAUUGUUUCCAACAGUCUUUCUCAUUCUCCUUUCAUUCGUCAUCAAAACAAACAGUAUGAUUUACGAAAAGUUACUAAUAUUUGUCAAAAUCUCCAGGAGAAUACUGAAUCUUAAUAAAAGAGUGUCAAUAUCUCAUCUGAGAUUUAACCCUUUUGACCAAUCGGGGCACUACGAAUAAUCUCGGGGGAGAUUGUUGGUCUUGGACUGAGAUUAUGUAAACGACCUGGCAAACAACUGUUUUUUCCAACAGCAUGCAUGUUAGAAACCAAACAUAUUUAAUAAAGAGAAGACUUCCCUUGUUUUUGAGAUUUUGUUGAAAAAGAGAAAAACUCCAAAAUGUGAGAGAGGGAACCUUUUAAGACCCAAACUUGUAGAGUCAACCUGGGGAUUUCUAAAACAAUGAUUUGAUAAUAAUAUGAUAAUAUAAUGAAAGAGGGCAUAAUGGUAAAAUUAACCCUUUAUUAACAAAUCUAGACACGUCACACAUGGCUCACGUUCUUAACUCGAUUUUGGUCGACAUGCCCCAUGAAAAACUCUUUUAACGAGUUCUGAAAAAACAUGCUAUUUCUAAAAUAUGGAAACUCCAAGGAAUUAUUUUUUACAGUUUUCCUUUUAUUUUCUACCUAUCUUCCUCUGGAAAUAACUGAAAUAAGUUUUAUUUGACAUGACUAAUUUUAACUCUAAUGUCAUUCUCUAAAAAGGGAAGUUUUCUCUUCUAUUGGUAAAAUGGGGACGUUCUGUAAGACCCCCAAUUAUCCAUACUUAUAGGAGGAAGGGUAGAAAAGUAACUGCACAGGGAAUUAUUAUGGAGAAAUGAUUGGAAGGACGUUCUGAGUGGUAGGGCCCACUGGGCUGAGGAAUAUGUGAGUCUAUAAAUAGGAUUAUUAGGUUGGAGUAGCUAGGGUAUUUUUAACUUUUAGGAGGUAGGGCUACAGCAGCCACCAGGGUCUCUUAAAACCAAGAGGCUGGUAUGAUCUUUUCUGCAUUUUUCCUUGUUGUUUCUUGUUAUUUCUUUUCAUCUUGUGAAUCUGGAUCAUUUGGCUUUAUAUAUAAAUAAAGUAAACCAGAGUACCGCCUCUGUUUAAGCCAUUUAUACAGUCCUUUCAGUCUAAAUUAUUGUUAGUAUCCUAACACGUUCAUACCACAAGUUUUUAAAGGAAAGCAGAAAAGAAAAAAUCUAUAAGGUUACAAAUAUGCAAGAAGAUUGAAAUAGCCGCCCACCUAUCCAGAAGUCAACUUCUUGUCAAGAGCUAAUGACAAAAACUAUUUUGCAAUAUGCAAAUUUCUUAUCUAACAAUAGCACUAUUAUGAUUGUAGAACUAGUGCCAGUUUGUGACAGAACCUAAAAUCCACUAAGAUAUAUUCGAGUGGCUUAAAAAGAGAUGCACAAGACCCCACUAUGCAAAAUACACAUACGUAGAAGAUGUGGAAACCAGAAAACUGAAGGGAUUAAUUAUGGUGGUUGACUCUGCUUACAAAAUUAAACAAAGGCAUUAUGACUUGAUGUUAUUGGCCCAAUUAAGAAGAAACAACAAUUCUAAAGCCAGUUGAAUAUAUCUCUUCGGCCAAGUAGACAAGAAAAAGAAAGCAUCAACAUCAAAUGAACCAAGGGCCUAAAGUAAACUAACAAAAUGGACUGUCGCUUUAGCCUUAUCAAUAAAGAAAAAGCAACUGAAUAAAUUUUAACAGAGCAAGACCAUCCUACAGAGUAGGAAAUUGUUUAAGAAUAAUGGUACCUGAGCAACGAUUAUGUCCAGUCAAAGCAAUUCCAUCCCUGUGGAUAAUGAUAUCUCCAACUUUAUCAGAUUAAGCAUGUAAAAGUUCCUAUAUGUGUAUUUGACAUGAAGUGCAUGAGAUAUGUGGGCCAUUAGUAUUAUCCAUAUAAGUCAAUCAAUAGAUGCAAGGUCGUUAAAUGAAUAAAGUUAUAAAGGGAUUUGCUAGCUACAAAAUAGGACUUUGCCACCAAUCCACUACUUGGCACUCAAUUACAAAGAUUGACUAUAAGAAAACGGGAUUCUAACUUUAAAGAUAUUAAUCACAAGCUCUGCACUAGUAUAACUAAUCAGAUAUACUUGUGAGUUGUCACCGAGGCAAGUAGAAAUUGCAUACUUUGCAUGAAGUUUGUUAGUGUUUCAUGGUUGAUUUGCAUUUGUAUAAUCCUCCUUAAUGCUAAAAUGAUAUUGUUUCUUCUGUUUUUUUGCCUCCACUUGCGCCUGAUAAAAAGGGUAAGUUUUGAUUAUAAUGAAAGAUACAAAAAUCUACAAGGAAUGUGUUCCCAUUGAUAGUGAAGUGAUCGUAGAAGAAAAAAUAAAUAUACAUAUACAUAUAUAGAUAGAAAUGAAAAAAUAAAUAUACAUAUACAUAUAUAGAUAGAAACAUAGAUAUAUUUUGGUGUCCUAAAUAUAUUCCACAGGCACGCUUAAAUUCUUCGGAAUAAUUCUUCGAUUUCUUCUAAUCACAUAUGAAAGUGAGCUAAUAAUAGCAUUGCACCAAAUAACAUUGGUUUUUCCUUUAAAAUGAAACCUAUAAAGAGGAUUUCAAGGCCUUAUUGUGCGUUUGAAGAGCUUGAAGUUACCUAGCGUGAAAAAGAGUUUCCAACAAAUUCACAAAGUGAAAAGGAAUUCUAGAAUCAAGGGAUUACAAUUGUUGCUACUUUGACACAGGAGUAAAUUUCAGUGGAACAGAGACAUAAGUUGUCUAAACCCUUUGUAAUCGAAUAUCAAAAAAGCAGUAUAAGAUGGCAUAAUUGUCUAAACCCAUACUUUGCAACCAAUGAGCCAACCAGAAGAUAAGAUGGCAUAAUUGUUGGUCUUAUCUACAUACAUAUAAUAGUAAAGGCAAUUCUAACAAAGCUAAAAGAACCUACAGAAGCAACACAAAUGUUAAAGAAUAACGAUACCUCUGGGUUUGAUUUUUCAGUGCUUACAAUCAGAAAAAGUUAUUCCCAUCCCUGUUGAAAAUGCUAUCUCCAGUUUAUCUGGCUAAGCACAUUUAAGUACCUAUACAAGUAUUUAGAGUAUAGGUACAUUUGUACCUAUACAACUAUUUACCAUAAAGUGCUUGAGAUAUGUGCGUCAAUGGCCGCCAGUAUUAUCUCCGUAAAGCAAUCAAAGGAUGCCAACUCGCUAAACAAUUAAAAAUAAUGUCAACAAUUUGUGAAUCCAUUACAUAGCAUUCAAAAAAGAAAUCCUUUUUUCUGAUUUUCUUUUUCCUUUUUGCGAGAGAAACACCUAUGAUGUCAUUGAAGGGAUGGAAUUAAAAAAAGAAGGCUGAUUGCAUUCCAUCAAAAUUACAAUAAAAUAAGUAAGUUUCCAAUGAGAUGCGAGAUAGGAAAUAGCAACAUCUUAAGAUAGUAAUUUUUAGACCAACUCACUAAAAAAAAGCAGGAAAAAACCAGAUAUUCAAGAUAACAAUUAAAUGAUCUUUCCUUGUCACACAAAGGAUGUCCAGCAGAGCAAACGAUAAGAUUUCACCAAAGAUUUUCCUUUUGAAAGGAUGCCCAGCAGAACGAUUGAUAAGAGAGCAUUCAAAUUGUACAAUUCUACAGCAUAUACAAAUGGAUUUACAUUUGAAGAAAUCAAUCAUAAAGUUCGCACCCCUUGAAAAAGAAAACCAUAAGGAAGCACUAGUGAUAAUUGGUGAUAAUUGAUGAUACUUGUGAGCUAUGACAAAGAGCUGCUUAAAGUACCAAUUGCAUAAACAUUGCAGAUAACCUGCUUGGGUAAAACAACCAACAGAAAAGAAUGAACGGAUGGGAUGCCACCAUCAUCAAACAAGGGCAACUUGAAAGGAUAGCUGAAGUGCUAUGUAAUAAUACUUUUGUUGCUACGCAACACAGUGUUUCCUAAAUUGAAGACACCAAUAAAAGAAAAGCAAUAUCAGACUAAUUUAGCCCUUAUUCACAAGAGAUUUUCCUUCCACCUUUCCUUUCAAUCUCUACCUUUCCCCUUUUCAUCUUUUUUAUCCUUUCUAGUUCCUCUCGGAUAAAAAAGUGAACCUUUUGCUAAGUAGAAUGAAAUGUUGAAAACUUCCGAGAAAUUUACAAAGAGGCAGUCUGUUGAAAGAAUCAAAAGGACUAAAUUCUAGUUAUAAACUAAAGAGACUAACCUCAGUCUUUUUAAAACCACAUGUACCAAAUUUGUAACUUAACCCAAAAAAAUGAAAGAAUAUUUAUAAUACAUUACAUAAUAAAUAUUAUAUUAAAAAUGAAUUGAGUUUAUAACAUGAAAUAUUAUAUUUCUAUAUGCUUUAUAUAUAUUUAAUAUAAUUCUGCUUUUAAAUGUAAAAUUCAAAUUCUUGAUACAACGAAAACAUAAAAAAGUUGUUUUCAGAAUUUGCAUAAUUUGGGUUAUAGAAUCUAAAAACAGAUUUCAGAAACACACCCUUAAUAUAUUUUUUCUUUUUUUUCCUUAAAGUAGUCACUUUCUUUGAGAAAAAACAUGAAAGAAGAAGGGAACCCCGCUCAAGAAAGGGGUCCAAUUAAGCAAAAUAGUGCUAUAGAAUAAUUACAAAAGAACUUUAAGAUUGAAACUAAAAAAGAAAGAUGAAACCUAAUAAAGACCCAAAUAUCACUAGGCUCAUUUCCCAUCCUCUAUAGACUCUAUUGCUCCUUUCUCCCUAAAGAUUCCACAAGAUAAAACACACCUAUACCAACCACAAGAAACAAUAUUUCUCAUGGAAAUGCAUCUAGAGGAAGAACUUCUCAAUCAUAACACUAAUGUCCCUUUGACAAACAAGCAAAAAACAAAACGUCUGGAAGAACAAAUUUCAAACAGUGCGUGCAAAUUCGCACCUCCAAAGUAUGUGAUCCAGGACUACCUCCACCUUCUAACAAAGAAUGCAACAAAAUAGGCCCAAUAAUUAAUGACGAUAACCUCCUCGAUAGUUUAUCCAAAGUGUUCACACAUCCAUGUAGAACUUGCUAAGUAAUGAAUGUCACUUUCUCAUAAAUCUUAAUUCUCUAAAGGAUUGAAUAAACACCCGCUAGAAGGAGAAAGAUCCAGCAGAAAACAAAAAAAAAUGAAUCUUAAUCCUCUAGAAGGUCGGAAUUUUAGACAUGCAAAUCCUUUCUCCAACGCCUAAAGUUAAACUCCCCAAAAACGAUAUCAAAGAGAUGACAUUUUCACCUUUCCUACCAAUCAAAGAGGCAAAGAGCAACCAAAACCUAAAGGAUAAGGGUAGGAAAAUCGAGCUCCCUGACCAAAUCAAAAUAAAUGGUUUUAAAAGAAUGAGAAAAGAGGUUUAUCCCCCAACCACUAGUCUUUCCAAAAAUAUGUCUCUUUACCCUCCCCUACCACCCAAUGGACAAAAUGGGAGAAAGAGGGGAGCUCGUUAGAAAUAUCCUUCCACAAGCCCUAGUGGGUGCCUUUAACCCCACCUAAUAACAACUGAAAGGGAUGAGGCUCAUACUUGCUAGCAAUAACCUUGUGUUGAAGGACAUCAGAAUCGAGAGGAAAACGCCGAAGUCAUUUACCUAAUAGGUUUUGUCGUGAAUCCUUAAGUUGCCAAUUUCUAACCCCUUGGAUCACCAAGCUCCCAACUAUAUCUCACCUAACCAAGUGUGAACCAUAUCUUCCUUUCACCACCCCUUCCCAAAGGGAGUUCCACACAAAUUUUUCUAUGUCGUUACAAAUCUUACUAGGGUUCUAAACAAAGUAAAGACGUAAUGAGGACACUACUCAAAAUUCGUCUCCCGACUUUAGAAAGGUUACUUUUGUCCAGGAGACCAGACUUGUCCUCAGUUUUUCAACCACGUGAUGGAGAUAUUAAUGUUAAAUUUAAAUGUCUGUCCCAUCUCCUCCACUUCAUGAAUGCUGACCCUGCCACAUAGUGUGGGUGAUCUUUCGAAAUUUAAAGAAGACACCAGUAAAUUGAAUAAAUUAGUCGAAAGAGACAAUUAAAGGGUCGAUGUCAUCAUUUGAGAUUUCGUUCCAAAUUGGUCAUUUGAAGAAGGUUAAUUCUAUAAAAAAAAACCUGUUAGAGCUGUGAGCAACCAAUGCACCUCAAGAAAAACGCUCCAAUCUGAAAAGCCUUCUUGCUCAUGUGACAGUGUUGACUUACUUUGAGAAAGGCUGUCCAAGACAUGCUGAUAAUUUCCAAAAUGCCAUGACACAAGGAUGUGUUACUGUUACCAACCCCCGAAUAUGCAAAUAGAAAUGAGCACUGGUGGGUCAUAAAUAGACAUUACAGUAUUUGAUGAACAUUUGGGUGGUUGAAGGUACAACACAAGCAAAAGAUACAAGCUAAACCAUAAUUUUCAGCAAGCUUGUUCUACAUGUGCCAAGUGAAACAGUAGAAGACUGUUAAGUUAAGUGUAGGUGCAUGGUAGUCUGUGAGAUGCUUCUUUAUACAAAGAUUCUGGGCAGUUGAGUGGUAUAUUGCACAAUCACUUAAAAAUGACUUCUUUCGUGAGGCCAGUCUAGAUUAAUGUGAUAAAGGCUUUUAAUAAAUAAAUAUUCAUCCAUGCAUGACGAGAUGAAACAUUUACAAAGGACACAUUAAAAAAUUUUGGAAAGAGAAGAUUUAUGAAGCCUGUAUCUUAGUUAAAGAUAAUUGCAGUUGUGAUCUGUGAUGGUGCCAAAGUAGAAUUAAAAGAAAAGAAUACUGACAUAUGAUUAAUAACUUACAGAUUACAUAAAGGUCAGCUUUUCUUUGUUUUUAUGUUUUUAACUUCCUUCGGCUUGGGUUUUUUUUUUUCUUUUCUUUUUUUUGUAUUAUCCUUAUUCAUUUGUUUGCAAUGAAAGUUGUUUUCUUUGUACAAAUUGUAGACAAUGGGAGCAUAAAUAAAUACGGUUUAGAGAGAAUAAAUUGCAAACAAUGGGAGCAUAAAAACUGCUGAAUUCUAAAGAUUAACUUUAGUUUUUUCUUAUCAGUAAGUUGGUUCCAUUCCAUUGUCAGAUAUAGGCCUAAUAGAGAAUCAUCUAGCCGUUGCGGCAAUUUUACAUGUAGAAUUUCUCAUAUACCGUUUUAAACAAUCGGUGGUUUCUCUUGUUAAACAUGAUUUCCACAAAAUUUUGUAUUUCAUGCCCGUUCAUCGUUUAAGCAUUCUACCAUUAUAAAAUCUCCCCCACAUUUUUAUACUUUUAUAAAAGGAGAGUCAAACUAAUAGUAUCUUCCUACAUUAGUAAAGCAGCGAGAAAUUGUAGAGCAAAUUGAUAUAACUAAAAGUUUUGAUAAGUUAAUGCAUUAUACAAAGACAUAUACAGGGGAUAUGCAAUAAAGUAUUUCUGACUCAUCUCAAAAACUACACAUGUACAUAAGAUAUGCUGAAGUGAGAGUGUAUAACAAACAUACUUAGAAAGGCAUCCACCUCAGCCAGCUAACCAGAUAUCAGCCAAAAAACACCAUCUGGGUGGCCAUUCCAGUUCAGCUCCAGCAAUUCUACUAAGCCAAAUUGAAAUCUUCAUCUUCAGCCAAUAUGAUUGGAAUACUAAAUUGACUCCACUAGAGAUUUAACUUGGGUCAGAUCAUUCAGGUUGACUGACUUUUCAUUGAUUGGAAUCUGUAACUCCCAUCUUGCUCCAAACUCAUAUCAUAAACUUCAGAAUGUGAACCCCUGGAUCGCCUGAAAUCCUUGCCACUUCCAUACUGUGUAUUUCCAUUGUGCGCCUGAGGACCAGGGACUCUUUGUCUUCUAUCCAAUCCAUUUUUUCCCGGUUUCAACUCUCUCUUAGAAGACUUCAGGUUUCUUUCAGUUCGUCCAUUCCUGGUUCUUCUUUCCUCGUAUAUAUUUCCUUUUGUACCAUUACUAAUUGAUGGUGCCGAGGAAUGCCGAGGAUAAGAACCCUCUGUAUCCGAGUAAUUUGUGUUAUCUUCCCCUUUAUCCACAGAAAAACUUCUCAAUGUCCGGUUAGAAGACCUCCGGUGAGUCCUAAAAUUAUCUUCUUGAAAAGUAGUUGGAAUUUCAUUGCCAGCUUCCGAAUCCAAACUCAACGAACUCUCCGACCCUGUAAUACUUCUAUAUGGCCUUACACUGUGAACCACCCCUUUCGGGAAAAACCUUGCAGAAGGUAGUUCGUCAACCGUCUCAAACAAUUGAGGCCCAUCUCUUUCCGUCCACAAAUCGAACCCACCAGGCCUUUGAAACCUAUCUGCCAAAACCUUCACCUGUUCAUCGGCGCCAACAGAGAACAAAUUGGGAGCCUUCUCCACAACCUCCCACGGCCUCUCCAGCUGGGAUACAGCCGCCUUAAGCUCAGCCCGCUUACGCAUCUCGUAUAUCUGGCGUUCACGGCACAGCCGGGCCUUAAGCAGCUGCUUACCUUUCUUGGCCUGCAUCCGCUUCCAUUGCCACUUCGACACUCCACCGGGAUAAGUUCUAGGACCUCCGCCCAUACGAAUAAGUGGUGUGGUCUUUGUGAGGAUCGGCAUCCGAUUGGGAAGGUAUGAGAGGUGGUUUGAACCAGUUAGAGACUGAGAGAAGGAGAAUAAGGGCGGACGAGAAGGGAUUGAAAUUGCGAGAGAAAUUGGGAGAAUGGGCAUUUCUUCGUUGAUACUUUGAAGGUGAAGAAAUCAAAGUGGCGAUAGAAAGCCCUAAUGGCAGAGUGAUGAAAGUAGCAAAACUAUGGAACAGAUGGAGGAGGUUGGCCUUGGCGCCGAGAUAUUCACGGUUGCAGUGAUGACGGAAACAGGUAGCGGAGUAGGAUUUUAUGGGCCGGCGGUACGUCUUCUAUUUUAUGGGCCAGAGUACUGAAAAGCCCACAAUACAAAUUGCUCAAUGGGCAUGUACUAUUUCAGAAGGAAUUGGUUGCUAAAUUUUUAAAUUAAUUAAAAUAUUUAGGAGCUUAAAUAAAAUUUUGGAUUCUAUCAAUCAAAACUAUUAAUGAUUGAAAUAUAUCAAUGACCAUCCGUUUAUUAUUAAUAGAAUUUUAAAUUUUAAAUAAAUAUUUUUAUCAAAGUUAUUAUUUUUUUAUCAUUUUUGCCUUUAAAAACUAGCACACUCUUCUAAUUUAAAAGUUCUUUAAAUUUCAAAUCAUAAAUUGCAAACUUUCCUAAAUCAAAAUUUGGUCUCAAGGCUGCUACAAUUUGUAACAAUAAUUUCCUUAUAUUUGAGAGUGUUUUUACAUGAGAAUAAUGCAAACACAUUAUAGAAAAUUAAAAUUAAGAUAUCAUUAAAAUUUGAAACCACUUCAUUUAGGUUUUUAUAAUUAUUUUACCUACUUUUAAAUCACACUCAAUUUAAGAUAUUUGGUGCAUCAUCUUAUUGUCUUAAGAAUUUCGCAAUGAAGUCACUACCAAAUGUUCAGUCACAAAUUAUCACAUACAAAUUUAAAAAAAAAUUAUACAAAUUGAUAAAUAUAUAGAUGUAAGGUGAGUAAUGGUAAGAUUAUUAAUGGUAAGAUUAUUCAAAUCUACUGUGAACGUUGCAUUUCACAUAAUUAAAGUUGAAAGUCUCUCUAGGUGUCUUUGUGUCUAAAGGGGCAUACGUGGCUUUUUUAUUUUCUAAGAAGUGUCUGGAAUAAGGGGGAGUUCGAGCAAAUUUCAUUAUGCUCACAUAUCAAUUGUUCUCAAAGUUCAACAUUCGAAGAGUAUACAUGACAACGUGAUCAUUUGGUAUCUCAAUGACAAUAAAGUAUUCUCUAUUAAAAGUGCUUAAUUUUUGGGGUCUAAAACUUGCUAAUUUAAAUAUAGCUAAAUCGUUAGAGAGGAUCACUUCCAAGUUCUUGUGGUAUUCUCUCUUAAAGUCGAAUAACUCUCGUAAGGUUAAGAUUUGUUGCCGACAAAAAAAGGUGUACAUAUUGAUAUGUUGUUAAUGGGGGAAAAUCUUGCACUUUGGAUAGUAGGAAAAAAAGGAAGAAGAAGAAGGGAAAUAAAAAUAAGAUAACAUAAUAAAAAUCGAAAACACAAAAAUUGAAAUUGAAAAUUUUCAACUUAUAGAAAAAUCACCGACAGAAAAUUCCACUAUGUGAAAAAUUGCUACAAUCACAAAGAAUAAUUAUCUCUCCUGAUUCUAAUUACAAACACACUUUUUAGAACUUUUGGCCAUUGACAUAUUCUUUUCACUCGUCAACUAGAGAAUACAAAACAAAGCUUAAAGUGCUGCUAACUGAGACACUUGAAAACUAAACACAUGGUUUUAUAUAGCUCAUGACUUUUCUAAAGAUUUUGCAUGAAUUCAUAACUUUCCUAAACUCAUUCAAUGUAGGACGACAAGCUCAUGACUUUCAUAAAUCCUUUCUCUUUUUUUUUUUCUAUUUUGGACAACUACAUUUUUUAUUUUUUUCGAAAAACCCAACUAUUGUGUGUCUUUCGCAGGAAACAUGUGGAAACUGCAAGUUAUCAUAUAUAGAAUUAUUCGAACUCUAAAGAUAUUUGGACUAGAAUUUUAGUGUUUAAUAUUAAUGUUUUAUGGAAUGACAACGCGAUCUCUAAAGUUACCAAGACUGCUAGUAUUGGAUCUUCAAACAUGUGGCUAUAUUUCUCAAAACAUGUUAUCUCGUGAUAUGUUAUUGUAGUUGUUUGGUUUUGUGGUUUUUCUUUUUCCUAAAAAAAACUAAAAUAGUUUUGGAUACUAAACUUUUAUGAAAAUAAUAAUUUAAUUCAUCAACUUUAGUUUGUAAUUUAAUUCAUAUACUUUUAAUUUUGUAACUAUUUUUAGUCCCUAAACUUUAAUAUGUAAUAACUUAGUCCUUAUAUACUUUUAAAUUUGUAAUCUUAAUCGUUAGCGGAAAGAAACAACCAAAUUAUAUUUGAUUUUUUAUUAUUUUAUAAUGUAGAUUUUAUAUUUUCUAUAAAUAUUGAGCAUCUAAUUAAUUUAUCAUUUUAUUUAUUAAAUGGUUGCCACUAAUUUCUAGUGAACCAACGAAUUGUUUCAAAUUUUAAAGUUGGAUACAAAUUCAAAGUAGAAAACUACAGUGUCACAUGCCAUAACUUUUUUUAUUAAUGUACAAAACCAAAAACAUUUGUUGACUUAUUUAUGUCACUGUUUAUACCUUUCCAAUAAAAAGUAAUUAAAAAUAAAAAUCUUUAGAAAACAAAAUUUGAACUAAAUCCAAUAUUUUAUAAUAAUCGGGGUUGUCCCCUUUCUUAGAUUUGAUGGAUAUCUGCACUGCUACAGCUCACAAUAUCAACCCCAUGAAUAUUGAUAUACAAUUGCUUUGGCUAAAAUCAAAAUGUGAUGUCAUAGAAAGAGAGAGAGAAAUGGAAAAAAAAUAAGAAAAAGGCGAACAUGUUGCUUCCAAUAUAAUGGACAAUGUAUGAGCAAUGAGGUUCGUUAAUUAUAGAAUAAGGAAGCUUUGUUUUUUUAAAUAAUUAUGAACAACAGCAAUAUGUUUUCAAUUUCCACAACAUCGUCUGAUGUGCAGCCUGUAGAUUCCAAGACACCUUUUCUUUUUCAUCUUCAAAGUUGCAAUUCAAAUUCAUCACGUCAUGUGGAGAAAGGAAGUGAUGGGGGUUUUAAGCACUAUCAAAUACAAGAAGAGCUUAAAAGAGAUAUAUAGAAAAUAGAGUGGAAUAAGUUCACAAAUAUGAUGAUGAGGAGUGAGAUUGCUCAACCGUUCAACCGUGGACAAAAGGAGAAUGAGAUGAAUCCUAACUAUUGCGCAAAUUUGUCUAUGAGUGAAAUAACUUCAAGGGCAACCAACUCUACAAACAAGGGAAGAAGACGUGAGAGACCAAAUACUUGGAUAUAAGUCUAUGCUCCUCUCGACUUCGGUCUCCGCAACAUUUUAAGUUUGUCUUGAUUUGAGAGAAUAAAAAAUCUAAGAUAGUCGUGUUCUUUAAAAGGAUUGAUAUAAAUUCAACUUUAGAGUGUUUAGAGAGAUAGACGACAAUUGUAUGACUUGCCCACACUUUCUGAUUGUGGGUAUAUAAUGAUUGAAAUACAUACUUUUCUAAAUUUUUCAAGGCCAUGGAAUAUUAGUAUUUUAUAUCUACACAAUAGAUCAUGUAUUUUAUGCUCUAAAAUUGACAUCUUUCCUAAGAUCCUAAAUUGGAUAGAUAUACAAAAACUCAUUAAGCAAAUAAUCGUCUAGUCAAAUCUAACGAUCCAAAAGGCUCUAAACAUCUCUAAAGACACAUUAUAGAGGGAGCAAAGUUUAACUAAAUAUUUCUACUAAAUGUAAUUUCUUGUUGCAUGUGUCCAAGUGGUUAGAACAUAUUUGGAGGUUUUUAAUUUUCCGUAUAUUUUCAAUAUCUAAUUUUUAGUUCUUAUUAUUAGUUUCUUUUUGUUAAAAAAAUAAAAUAAAAACAUUUAUUUUAUCAAAUAUUCCAAAGUUUUGAAAAUAUAUUCAAUUACUAUAUUUUCUUACCUAAACAUUUGUUAUAAACCAAUUUCAAAGAGAAACUUGGAAAAAUUAAAUUUAAAAUUUAUUGAACACCGACCAAAAUAACAUUUUAAACCUGAUUUUAACUAUAAUCUUCUCUUUAAAAACGUCCCUCAAAUAAAAAUAAAUGGCAUUAGCUUUUAGAUAUGGACUAAUUUAGUUUAUUUUUUAAAAAAAUAUCAACACAUAUUUUUUUAUUUUAUCCAAAAAUAAAUGCUUGAUGCCACUAACAAAAAAUCAAAGAAAUAGCAAAAAUAAAAAAUAAAAAUAGAAAAAAAGAGAGAAAAAACUUCGAAGUUGGAACUAAUAGUUGGGAUACGAAAUUAAUCUCCACAAACCAAUAACUUUUAACACUAAUUAAUUUAAGCUAAUCAAACAAGUCCACAGUGAGAGAUCAUACAAUAAUCGAAUUAAAAUUAAAACUACUUGUUUGUUGUUUCAUUUCAAUAAUAAUAUAAAACUUAAUAAUAGUAUUAUUAUAUUAUCAUCACCUUCAUUCACAGCUUUACAUAUAAACACCUAAAUCGAUACUGUUCCCUCACUUCCAAUCUCAAUUAUAUAUCUAUUAUUUCCAACAUCACACCACACGUGUAACCCCCCGAAUUUCCUUGCAUUUCCUCCCACACUCUCAAUUAAUUUUAUUAAUUAAGAAUCCACCCCCUGCUUCCCUUCUCCCACGAACUUUCCUUAAUCCUUCUCCUAGCUUCCUUGGAUCCACAAACCCCUAUUUAUUUCCACUCCCUAAUUAAACUCCUCAAAUCUCACCUCCACGAAUAUGCUUCCUCCAUUUCUAUUCCUUCUCUUCAUCUUCGCCAAUGCUCUUUUCAGUUCACUCGCCGCCGCUGCCGCUCCACCACCUACCUCCGCCGAAUCGCCUUCUGUAAGAAAGCUUGGGAAGCACCAGAGUACGGCGAUUGCCUUUUCGAGUCCGACUGAAGCGCCGCGAAGCGUAAUGAAAGUCCAGGGGACCUCGGGGGCGAGCGGUGGAGAGAGUGGGAAUGCGGUUGAAUUGGGGAAUCAUGACCAUCACAAGUCGAGAGAUAAGUCUAUCGCCGGCGGAGGUGUGAUUUUGGGCGGACUCGCUACGACUUUUUUGGUGGCGGUUAUAUGUUACAUAAGAGCUACGAGACGACAGAAAAGUGAACUUGGCUCUUGAGACGACAUGUCGUCCGCCUUGGUUUGUUUGUUGUGUAAUUGUAUUUUUUUUAAAAGGAGGAUGUAAUUGUAAUUAACCAUAAGUAUAAAAAUCAAAGGCCACAAUACAUUUUGUUUUGUCUUUUUUGGGUUUUUAGAAAAUAAUAAUAACAAUCAAACUGUUCAAACCUCAUAAAUAUUUUGUAAUAUUUCAAUUUUUGACAAAUUUCCUUUUUUUAUACAAAUAAUAUUCUUGUUAUUAUUUGUUUUACUCAGUUAUCUUUAUUUCAGGUGGGAUUUAAAAGAUAAUUUACAAGAAAAAUUAGAGCUAGUAAGCACACUUUCCAAAAUAAACUAAAAGAAUAGACAAUGAUAAAAAUAUUUUUAUGGAGCGGAUGUAUUUUCAAAGCUAAAAGAAUAGACAUCGAUAAAAGCUAUGACUAAUAGCACAUUUCUCAAUUCAAUUGAUGACAACUAUACCGAUCGAUAGCCUUUUAUUUUCAAAGGCCAAUGAACUUUUAAAAUUUUGCUAGACUUUUUAGUAUCCAUUUGUGUACGUCGUAUGUAAUUAUUUAUUUUUGUGUUUAUA